rnacentral:lncRNA from 12 species
CCAGCUCCAAGUGCCUAGUAGGUCCUCAUCCCCCUGACGGCCCUGCUACUGAGGCUCAGCCUCUGGAUAACAUGGGCCUGGUGCCUGCUGCUCAGUAAGCCAUGUAGCAUUUAUAAGGAGAAUGGCCAUGGCCAUGGCCACCCCUGAGGAGGGCUGGGGGCUCAGGGACAUCACUGCUUCAAGGACAUCUUCCCUGUCUGCGUAAUGCUGCUGGUGGGAAGCAGAUGGUCUUCUGUCAUUAUGCUCUCCAUGCAAGUGACCAGAAUGAAGAGACCCCACAGCACAACACAAAACCAAAAACCCAUGAAUUCAUUUUUUAAAGUCUUGGGAAUUAAAAAAAUUAAAAUAAAAAAAAAUAAAGUCUUG